AUUGAACGCUGGCGGCAGGCCUAACACAUGCAAGUCGAACGAGUGGGGGACGGAUGAGUAAGGUCUGGGAAACGUACUGGUGGAAGGGGUUAACAAAUGGGAACGAUAACUGAUACCGUAUUCACUAGAAUGGGCCCAGAUGGGAUUAGGUUGUGGGUGGGGUAAAGGCUCACCUGGGCGACGAUCCCUACCUGGUCGGAGAGGAUGACCAGUCACACUGGAACUGAGACACGGUCCAGACUCCUACGGGAGGCAGCAGUGGGGAAUAGUGCACAAUGGGCGCAAGCCUGAUGCAGCCAUGCCGCGUGUAUGAAGAAGGCCUUCGGGUUGUAAAGUACUUUCAGCGGGGAGGCGUUACCCGCAGAAGAAGCACCGGCUAACUCCGUGCCAGCCGCCGCGGUAAUAC
rnacentral:rRNA from 1 species